AUCAAUGGGGUGGUUGCCGAUCUCCGUUGGAGAAGGCAGCCUGAGAAAAUACCCAUAGAACCUGAUCCGGGUAAUACCGGCGGAGGGAACG
rnacentral:misc_RNA from 1 species